rnacentral:tRNA from 1 species
UAUAAAAUAAUUAUUAGGUUUAAAUUUUCUUUUAAUUAACAUUUAAAGGCUUUUAGAUAAGCUAAUUUUAU